GAAGAGUCGACCAAAGAUGAGAAAAAUGCUAUUGAAAAAUCGCCACAAUAAUAGGGAUUUUCCGGUGUAGAAUGAUUGCUCUCACAGGAUUUAUUGGUGGAGACCGCGACAGAGCAGGAUGGCUCAGUCAGUAAUAUCACCGUGCAGCCCACAGUUUUUCAGGCAUUGACACUAG